AGAGAUUCCAUCAUGUCAUCAAGACCCAUGAUAAAUCUUUAAACAUUUUGAUUUUUUUGAACUUUACACUGUCACUCUCAACAUAUGGGUCUCAUACUUUGGCUGGUUCCUCUGCAGUGCCUCAAACUCUGUCCCCUGAGCAGAAAGCCGGGGCUGUAUUUACCCAAGUGGCUCUGCCCUGCACUUUUCAUAAUUGUCUCACAUUUAGGACAAAGCUGCAGGUAGAAACAGGGAGAAAAGAGCAGUUGUAUAUGUCCCUUGGUUUCACAGCUCCUCAAAGAAACAGAGAAUUAAUUACAUGGUAGAUCUACACUAUACUGAAUGCCAAGAGGGAGCCAUCACCAGCCCUCUAUUAUUGCUGCUCCUACGUCUUGAACCAAAGCAGCAUCCUGUUCUCAGACACUAACUUGGGUUUGGAGACCUGAGUGUUUGGAGACACGAUGUCUAAAUAAUAAAGCUUGGAGAAUGUGGGCAUCGAUCCCACUACCUCUUGCAUGCUAAGCAAGCGCUCUACCACUUGAGCUAAUUCCCCACAUCAGGGGAGCAUUAUUUAUUGUUAGCGGGUGGCCUGGAACACAGGUGAUUUCGGGGCCUUCAGCAGGAAAGCAGGGCUCUAAGAGCAGAUCUUCUCAUUGAUGGGCCAGGGCAAACAGCAGUGGCUACUCAUUCUCUGCAAAGAAGGAGGAGAAAAGGGAACAAGGAGAAAGUCACAACGGGAAAACUUCACGCUGCCAAAAUGUCAAGUUUAGAGUAUUCCGGGACAGAAAAGGGCACGUCCCAGCAAAGGAGGACCUGCCUAGACCUGCCCAGAUAACUCUAUUUGAAAGCCUUGACACUGCGGUUGAGAGAUCUCUGGAGUGUGUGCAACCAGUGGUCAGUGAGGACUGGAAAGUGGACCAUUGUUCAGUUCAGUCCUCAGGCUCUUUUUAGGUAAGUUGUUUGGGAUUAGAGCCACUUAUUCACAGCUGGCAGGUGCAUCCACAAGCUCAUGAACAACUUUAUGGGUUUGCUUUCUACAGUAUCUGUCCAGGCACAUUCUAGUUACUUGACACAUCCUGGUUUCAGUCCUCUCACCAGAAAGCCAGGGCUGUAUUUACCCAGGUGGCUCUGCCCUGCACUUUUCACAGUUGCCUCACAUUCAAGCUACAGGCAGAAACAGGGAGAAAAGAGCAAUUGUUUAUGUCCCUUGGUUUCACAGCUCCUCAAAGA
rnacentral:tRNA from 10 species